AUGCUCAUUUUCACAGUACAUAUACUAAAAUUGGAAUGAUACAGAGAAGAUGAAUAUGGCCUCUGAGCAAGGAUGACAUGCAAAUUUGUGAAGCAUUAAAAAAAAAU